UUCCAUCGGGUUGUGGGAGGGCGGUACCGCACCUAGUACACGCCACUCGGCCGCAGUCGACACAGCGGCAACCGGCUUCCAGGUUCAGAGCCAGUCGACCCCAUCCGCCCCAAAACCGUCUACCAAGAAAGCUGUUUCCGAUUAACAGGAGCCAAACAUGCAAUAUCCUAGGUAUUUCAACGUCUCUUUUUUUUUACCAAAGAACCCUACAAGCAAGUCACGAUGCAUCAUUCCUGUCUAUGUUUAGUUCGUGCAUGAAAUCGCAUCUGCUGCAAAGAACUAUAAAUAAGGCCACAAACCAAACGGAUGGAUGCAAACAGCGCUGGUGGAGACAAGUGAAGAUAAGGAUUACAGCCGACUACUAAACGGUCUAAAUGUUGCGAAUUUGAUGUUCGACACCGCCGUUAGACUCAUUCAUCAGACCAGGCUCGCGACAAGAAACGAAGUGCAUGAACGGCCGAAUUCAAACCCAGACCGCAAGGUGUCACUUGACCUUAACAGGAAAACACGUUACCCACUACGUCAUUACGCGGACCAAUCUGUGAUCUAUUUUAGACUUGCACGUCUCUCCUAGUUCACAGUACAUUGAAUGGUGCUUUAGGACUCAUCGUUGUUAAAACCGAAAAAGCGGUUUUUUGGCUUUACUUUAAGAGAGUCAACUCAAAUGGAAGCAGAACCGCUAACUGAUUAUACUGUGUAUAUA